ACGGGUGAGUAACACGUAUGCAAUCCACCUGUAACAGGGGGAUAACCCGGAGAAAUCCGGACUAAUACCCCAUAAUAUGGGCGCUCCGCAUGGAGAGCCCAUUAAAGAGAGCAAUCUUGGUUACAGACGAGCAUGCGCUCCAUUAGCCAGUUGGCGGGGUAACGGCCCACCAAGGCGACGAUGGAUAGGGGUUCUGAGAGGAAGGUCCCCCACAUUGGAACUGAGACACGGUCCAA
rnacentral:rRNA from 1 species